rnacentral:sRNA from 2 species
GAUGUGGAAACGCCUAGUCCUGUCACCACGCCCGGGUCCACCAGCAACACCGCUUGGCAGGAGCGGGGGACCCAAUUUCGGGCCGUCUCCGGACGGUCCUUGGGGUGAAGUCCUCGUGUGAGCGCCCGCAAGGUCGGGUGGCAAACCGCGAGGGCCGGGUGAUCUACCUCCACCCGAACCCGACAGCUCACCUCGUAGGCGCUGGAGGUUCAACCA